rnacentral:rRNA from 1 species
AUUGAACGCUGGCGGCAGGCCUAACACAUGCAAGUCGAACGAGUGGCGGACGGGUGUGUAAUGUCUGGGACACUGCCCGAUGGAGGGGGAUAACUACUGGAAACCGUAGCUAAUACCGCAUACCAUCGGAUGUGCACAGAUGGGUUGCUCUUGUAGGUGGGGUAACGGCACACCUAGGCGACGAUCCCUAGCUGGUCUGAGAGGAUGACCAGCCACACUGGAACUGAGACACGGUCCAGACUCCUACGGGAGGCAGCAGUGGGGAAUAUUGCACAAUGGGCGCAAGCCUGAUGCAGCCAUGCCGCGUGUAUGAAGAAGGCCUUCGGGUUGUAAAGUACUUUCAGCAAGGAGGCGUUACUCGCAGAAGAAGCACCGGCUAACUCCGUGCCAGCAGCCGCGGUAAUUC